rnacentral:misc_RNA from 1 species
CCGAGAAGAAGUCGACACUUUAAUAAAGUUGGUGGAAAAGAAUAAACUUGUUAUUGAAAACAAAAAGAGUGAUGCGGUAACGUGGGCCGAAAAAGAACGUUGCUGGAAAUCAAUUGAAAUUGAUUUCAACUCUGCUAGUGGCGUUACUUUUCGUAGUGCUAAAACAUUACGUCUAAAAUAUGAGGGCAUCAAGCGAGACACCAGGAAGAAGUCGGCAUUAAUACGGGCCGAGACUUAUCAAACUGGAGGAGGUCCAAGUUCAGCGCCUGUCUUGACUCCCAGUGAAGUCAAAGUAAAAGAAAUGAUUUUGUUGUCAAUUGAUGGCAUGGACAGCAAAUUCGAUUCAGAUCACCUACCAAAUACAGUGGUGUCCUUUUCACCAUCACAAAAUACUUGCAGCUCUUCUGGUCUUGGUACAGUGGACACAGAAAAACUUAUAUUAAAUAUACAAAAUCAAGAUGGUAU